CAGCAGUGACUAGUGGGGUACCGCAAGGCUCGGUGCUGGGACCAGCAGUGACUAGUGGGGUACCGCAAGGCUCGGUGCUGGGACCAGCAGUGAUUAGUGGGGUACCGCAAGGCUCAGUGCUGGGACUGCAGCUAUUUACAAUAUACAUCAAUAAUUUGGAUGAAGGGAUUCAAAGUAACAUUAGCAAAUUUGCAGAUGACGCAAAGCUCGUUGGCAGUGUGAACUGUGAGGAGGAUGCUAUGAGGAUGCAGGGUGACUUGGACAGGUUGGGGGAGUGGGCAGAUGCAGUUUAAUGUGGAUAAUUGUGAGGUUAUCCACUUUGGUUGCAGAUUAUUAACUAAAAAGUAACAAUUUUUUUCAUCACAAGUAUUUUUUUACUCGUGAAGUUUCAUCAACGGUGUGAAAAAAUGUCCAGGAGUUAAAAAAUAUUGGUGAUGAAAAAAAUGGUUACUUUUUACUCGUAGAAGCUCGUGAACAUACUCGUGGACAGGGGCUUAAAUCUUCUCUGUAUCCUAUCCAGUUUGACAACAUUGUUUCUGUACCAGGGUAACCAAAACGGAAAACACAAUACUCCAAAUUUGGCCUCACGAAUGUCGUGUCAAGUUGGGAAAAGGGGAAGUACAACGGGAUCUGGGGGUCCUUGUACAUCAGUCACUGAAAGUAAGCAUGCAGGUUACAGCAGGCAGUGAAGAAAGCCAAUGGCAUUUUGGCCUUUAUAAUAAGAGGAGUUGAGUAUAGGAGCAAAGAGGUCCUUCUACAUUUGUACAGGGCCCUAGUGAGACCACACCUGGAGUAUUGUGUGCAGUUUUGGUCUCCACAUUUGAGGAAGGACAUUCUUGCUAUUGAGGGAGUGCAGCGUAGGUUCACCGGGUUAAUUCCCGGGAUGGCGGGACUGUCAUAUGUUGAUAGAAUGGAGCGGCUGGGCUUGUACACUCUGGAGUUUAGAAGGAUGAGAGGAGAGAGAGUUUAGUUUAGAGAUACAGGGCAGAAACAGGCCCUUCGGCCCACCGGGUCAGCGCCGACCAGCGAUGCCCACACACUAACACUAUCCUACACACACUAGGGACAAUUUUUACAUUUACCAAGCACCAUUAGCCAUAUAACAAUUACAACACGGAAGCAGGCCAUUCAGCCCUUCUAGUCCGUGCCGAACACUUAUUUUCCCCUAGUCCCAUCUACCUGCACUCAGACCAUAACCCUCCAUUCCUUUCCCAUCCAUAUACCUAUCCAAUUUAUUUUUAAAUGAUAAAAUUGAACCUGCCUCCACCACUUCCACUGGAAGCUCAUUCCACACAGCUACCACUCUCUGAGUAAAGAAGUUCUCCCUCAUGUUACCCCUAAACUUCUGUCUCUUAAUUCUCACAUCAUGUCCUCUUGUUUGAAUCUUCCCUACUCUCAAUGGAAAAAACUUAUUCACGUCAACUCUGUCUAUCCCUCUCAUCAUUUUAAAGACCUCUAUCAAGUCCCCCCUUAACCUUCUGCGCUCCAAAGAAUAAAGACCUAACUUGUUCAACCUUUCUCUGUAAUUUAGUUGCUGAAACCCAGGCAACAUUCUAGUAAAUCUCCUCUGUACUCUCUUUAUUUUGUUGACAUCCUUCCUAUAAUUAGGCAACCAAAAUUGUACACCCUACUCCAGAAAUGGCCUCACUAAUGCCUUGUACAAUUUUAACAUUACAUCCCAACUUCUAUACUCAAUGCUCAGAUUUAUAAAAGCCAGCACACCAAAAGCUUUCUUUACCACCCUAUCUACAUGAGAUUCCACCUUCAGGGAACUAUGCAAAGUUAUUCCUCGAUCCCUCUGUUCAACUGCAUUCCUCAAUUUGCUACCAUUUACCAUGUACGUCCUAUUUUGAUUUGUCCUGCCAAGAUGUAGCACCUCACACUUAUCAACAUUUAAACUCCAUCUGCCAUCUUUCAGCCCACUUUUCCAAAUGGCCGAAAUCUCUCUGUAGACUUUGGAAAUCUAUUUCAUUAUCCACAACACCACCUAUCUUAGUAGCAUCUGCAUACUUACUAAUCGAUCAUUGAUGGAUAUGACAAACAACAGUGGACCCAACACAGAUCCCUGUGGCACCCCACUAGUCACUGGCCUCCAACCUGACAAACAGCCAUCCACCAUUACUCUCUGGCAUCUCCCAUUCAGCCACUGUUGAACCCAUCUUGCUACUCCACCAUUAAUACCCAACAAUUGAACCUUCUUAACCAACCUUCCAUGAGGAACCUUGUCAAAGGCCUUACUGAAGUCCAUAUAUACAACAUCCACCGCUUUACCCUCAUCAAUUUCCCUAGUAACCUCUUCAAAAAAUUCAAGUCAAACAUGACCUUCCAGGCACAAAUCCAUCUUGACUGUUCCUAAUUAACCUACAAACCUGCACGUCUUUGGAGUGGGAGUAAACGGAAGAUCUGGGUGGGAAGACUGUGUGGGAUCAAUGAAUCCUGGGCACCAGUUAGGACUGCAAAUAUCCUGGACAGGCUCGGCUCAUAAGACUAGCCUCCUGAAAGUAAGCAUGCAGGUACAGCAGGCAGUGAAGAAAGCGAAUGGCAUGUUGGCCUUCACAACAAGAGGAGUUGAGGAUAGGAGCAAAGAGGUCCUUCUGCAGUUGUACCGGGCCCUAGUGAGACCACACCUGGAGUAUUGUGUGCAGUUUUGGUCUCCAAAUUUGACGAAGGACAUUCUUACUAUUGAGGGAGUGCAGCGUAGGUUUACCAGGUUAAUUCCCGGGAUGGCGAGAAUGUCAUAUGCUGAGAGAAUGGAGUGGCUGGGCAUGUACACUCUGGAGUUUAGAAGGAUGAGAGGGGAUCUUAUUGAAACAUAUAAGAUUAUUAAGGGUUUGGACCUGCUAGAGGCAGGAAACAUGUUCCCGAUGUUGGGGGAGUCCAGAACCAGGGGGCCACGGUUUAAGAAUAAGGGAUAGGCCAUUUAGAACAGAGACGAGGAAACCCUUUUUUCACACUGAGAGUUGUGUAUCUGUGGAAUCAAGAGAGAGCUAGAUAGGGCUCUUAAGGUUAGUGGAGUCAGGGGAUAUGGGGAGAAGGCAGGAACGGGGUACUGAUUGUGGAUGAUCAGCCAUGAUCACAGUGAAUGGCGGUGCUGGCUGGAAGGGCCGAAUGGCCUACUCCUGCACCCAUUGUCUAUUGUCUAAUAGGUUUAAGGUGAGGGGGGAAAGAUUUAAUAGGAAUCGGAGCGGGUAACGUCUUCAUGCAAAGGGUGGUGGGUGUAUGGAACGAGUUGCCAGAGGAGGUAGAUGAGGCCGAUACUAUUGCAACGUUUAGGAAACUGUUGGACAGGUACGUGGAUAGGACAGGUUUAGAGGGAUAUGGACCAAAUGCAGGCAGGUGGGACUAGUGUAGAUGGGGCAUGUUGGCCGGUGUGGGCAAGUUGGGCCGAAGGGCCUGUUUCCACACUGUAUCUAUCACUCUAUGACUAGAGUGUGGAUUUUGUACAAUGGCCCCUCUUGUUUACACGAUCAGUAGACUGUUUAUGUACACUUGCUGACCUGGGGUACGGUAAUACUCUGCUGGACUGUUUGUAAUCAAAAAUAUAAUUUCAAUGUGUAGCAUUUCACACCUGUGACAAUAAAAGUGCCAAUGAGAUUCCGACAA